rnacentral:rRNA from 1 species
CUGGGUGUAAAGGGCGUGUAGGCGGGAAUACAAGUCAGAUGUGAAAUACUGUGGCUCAACCACAGAACGGCAUCUGAAACUGUAAUUCUUGAGUACUGGAGAGGAAAGCGGAAUUCCUAGUGUAGCGGUGAAAUGCGUAGAUAUUAGGAGGAACACCGGUGGCGAAGGCGGCUUUCUGGACAGUAACUGACGCUGAGACGCGAAAGCGUGGGGAGCAAACAGGAUUAGAUACCCUGGUAGUCCACGCCGUAAACGAUGGAUACUAGGUGUAGGAGGUAUCGACCCCUCCUGUGCCGCCGUUAACACAUUAAGUAUCCCACCUGGGGAGUACGGUCGCAAGACUGAAACUCAAAGGAAUUGACGGGGGCCCGCACAAGCAGUGGAGUAUGUGGUUUAAUUCGAGGCAACGCGAAGAACCUUACCAGGGCUUGACAUCGCCUGACAGCGCUAGAAAUAGCGUGUCUCUUCGGAGCAGGUAGACAGGUGGUGCAUGGUUGUCGUCAGCUCGUGUCGUGAGAUGUUGGGUUAAGUCCCGCAACGAGCGCAACCCUUGCCGUUAUUUGCCAUCAUUAAGUUGGGCACUCUAACGGGACUGCCGGUGAUAAAUCGGAGGAAGGUGGGGAUGACGUCAAAUCAUCAUGCCCCUUAUGUCCUGGGCUACACACGUACUACAAUGGCCACUACAAUGGGAAGCGAUACCGCGAGGAGGAGCAAAU